UACGGAGGGAGCUAGCGUUGUUCGGAAUUACUGGGCGUAAAGCGCACGUAGGCGGCUUUGUAAGUUAGAGGUGAAAGCCCGGGGCUCAACUCCGGAACUGCCUUUAAGACUGCAUCGCUUGAAUCCAGGAGAGGUGAGUGGAAUUCCGAGUGUAGAGGUGAAAUUCGUAGAUAUUCGGAAGAACACCAGUGGCGAAGGCGGCUCACUGGACUGGUAUUGACGCUGAGGUGCGAAAUCG
rnacentral:rRNA from 1 species